GCCGAGCCAUUUAACAAUGGCUUGUAACCCAUUUGAGGCUUUACGGUGGUUAGAGGUUGGUUCAUCUUAUCUUGUCGAAACUCUUAAGAGGAUUACUUCCUCGCCCAUUCCAUGAUGGGAGUUGGGCCUCACAUUCUGAUCUAAUAAAGGCCACAGUGCAAAGCCUUUAGAUUUGAGGAAAUCGCGUGAGGUUGGCUUUACAGGGCAGCGUCACCAACUACUCUCGUCGGUGGACGGAUAACAUGCAAGUAAUUAAGAAUGGCUAGUAAAUUAUUAAAUAUACAAGUUGUU
rnacentral:SRP_RNA from 1 species